rnacentral:rRNA from 1 species
GGCAAGUCUGGUGCCAGCAGCCGCGGUAAUACCAGCUCCAAUAGCGUAUAUUAAAGUUGUUGCAGUUAAAAAGCUCGUAGUUGAAUUUCGGGAUCAGUUCGCUGGUCGUGCCUUUGGUAUGUACUGGUGUUACUGGUUUCUACCUUCUGAAGAACCAUCAUGUCAUUAAGUUGGUGUGGCGGGGAAUCAGGACUGUUACUUUGAAAAAAUUAGAGUGUUUAAAGCAGGCUCGCGCUUGAAUACAUUAGCAUGGAAUAAUGAAAUAGGACGUUUGAUCCUAUUUUGUUGGUUUCUAGGAUUGACGUAAUGAUUAAUAGGGAUAGUUGGGGGCAUUAGUAUUCAAUUGUCAGAGGUGAAAUUCUUGGAUUUAUUGAAGACUAACUACUGCGAAAGCAUUUGCCAAGGAUGUUUUCAUUAAUCAAGAACGAAAGUUAGGGGAUCGAAGACGAUCAGAUACCGUCGUAGUCUUAACCAUAAACUAUGCCGACUAGGGAUCGGAUGAUGUUAAUUUUUUAAUGACUCAUUCGGCGCCUUACGGGAAAC